AAAUGACCAAUCAGUAUUAGAGUCUUGUGUGACAAUUUGAAGUUUGACCAAUGAGAGCCUGGCUAGUCAUGCGAUCAGAGCAUGGUCUGGGCCGGUGCUAGCUGCCCCAAAUUUUUUAGCAGAGCUUGGCAUUCCUGAUUCUGCCACCGUGCUGAAUGCAUGCCUGCCAUUUUCAUCAGCCAUUUUGCAUCAUUUUGUUGUUCGAUUGGAGGAUUCUGAUUCCAAGUUCCCUCCUUUUUGCACGAAUGUUGGCUCUCUGUUUUAGAGUGCAGGAUAUUAUGGACAGUGGUCAAGACGGCUACAUCAAUGAUCCAGAUGGAAAAGCAACAGAAACUCAACUAAAAGAAAGCAAAUUUAGUCUUGUCUGAUAAGUGCUGUGUUUCACAGCCCAUGCCAAGUAUGGACUGAAAUUCUGGCUGAACUAUCAGAUCUUACAUACAAGGGACCCUGUACAUGUAUGAGAGAAAGUUCACUCGCAACCACUGAUGAGCAUCCAUGCAGAGGAUUCAAUUAGUUUGGAACUUGCUGCAACCCCUGUCCAGGUGGUUGUCAUUGAGGAUUCUGAGUGUUCGAUGACUUAUUGAGGUGAAAAGUCUGUCAAGGUUGAGAGAGGUGACACUAAAGGAAGUGAUUCUAGCCAAAAAGGACUGCAACUUUCCUCUGAAACUGAAGGAAUCAAAACCCAUGCUGAAGGAGAAAUCAUGAAUAGUUUUACCAAGUGCAGAUAGAGAUGGCAGUUGUAGGUGUGCCUUGUUGUGACCUUCGAAUUUUUACCAAUGCCACAGCGAUGUGCUCAUAGUACAUGUUUCAUUCAUUGAGGACAAAAUCCUCCAAUUUCAUAAAGGUCAAUGUUUUACCAUAAAGCCCAGGGUUUGGAGAUAAAAAGUUAAGGUUGCAACUUUUAUCAAGACACCUUGCACAAAUUUUAUUUUGCAAAACUAGUUAAUUGGUCUUGCCAUAAAUGUGAUUGCUCUAGUUCAAAGAGUAAAAGUGCAUGUACAUGUACAUGUUAUUAAAAUUAUAUUUUAGACAUUAAAAUUUGUGUCAACAAAUUGCAGACUUUUUAGUCAUCUUUAAAAAGCUAUACUUUGCAAUGAAUAGUUAAGUGCA